GUAGGGGACGAGCGUUGUCCGGAUUCAUUGGGCGUAAAGCGCGCGUAGGCGGCUCGGAAAGUCGGUCGUGAAAGGCCGGGGCUCAACCCCGGGACUGCGUCCGAUACUUCCGAGCUGGAGGCAGGUAGGGGAGAUCGGAAUUCCUGGUGUAGCGGUGAAAUGCGCAGAUAUCAGGAGGAACACCGGUGGCGAAGGCGGAUCUCUGGGCCUUGCCUGACGCUGAGGCGCGAAAGCUAGGGGAGCGAACAGGAUUAGAUACCCUGGUAGUCCUAGCCGUAAACGUUGGGUGCUAGGUGUGGGCGGACAUCGACCCCGUCCGUGCCGAAGCUAACGCAUUAAGCACCCCGCCUGGGGAGUACGGCCGCAAGGCUAAA
rnacentral:rRNA from 1 species